rnacentral:rRNA from 1 species
UCUGCCCGAUAGAGGGGGAUAACCACUGGAAACGGUGGCUAAUACCGCAUAACGUCGCAAGACCAAAGAGGGGGACCUUCGGGCCUCUCACUAUCGGAUGAACCCAGAUGGGAUUAGCUAGUAGGCGGGGUAAUGGCCCACCUAGGCGACGAUCCCUAGCUGGUCUGAGAGGAUGACCAGCCACACUGGAACUGAGACACGGUCCAGACUCCUACGGGAGGCAGCAGUGGGGAAUAUUGCACAAUGGGCGCAAGCCGGAUGCAGCCAUGCCGCGUGUAUGAAGAAGGCCUUCGGGUUGUAAAGUACUUUCAGCGGGGAGGAAGGCGAUGCGGUUAAUAACCCUGUCGAUUGACGUUACCCGCAGAAGAAGCACCGGCUAACUCCGUGCCAGCAGCCGCGGUAAUACGGA